UGUUAGUGUAGCAGGAUGACUGCUUUUCCAGUGGCUCCGCCCACUCGCAGUAUUGUGCCCCUUUAAUUUAUUAUAUAAGGAGGGACCUGUAGAUCUGCUCGCUCUCUGACAGCUGAUACGCACCUCCCCCCUUCCGGGUUUACCUGGCUGCAGGUUCGGCAGACGCUCGGCACUCUCUGCAGGGUUGUGCAAAUUGUUCCACCGUGCAGGUGCUGAGGGCCUCACUGGUGAUCCUGUUUGGUGAUGGUGUCCCUUCGUGUGUAGUGUCUUAUUCACUCCCCUCCUUUGUUUUGCUUUGCCCUUGUGUGUUUGGAGUGUUAAUUUUGGAUUGUGGUGCUCCCAUUUUAAGUUUAUACUUUCACCCCUCACUCACCUUGAGCACAAAUGCCCCAG
ensembl:lncRNA